rnacentral:rRNA from 1 species
AACGUAGGAGGCAAGCGUUAUCCGGAGUUACUGGGCGUAAAGCGCGUGUAGGUGGGUUGGUAAGUUACUUAUAAAAGCCCCUGGCUAAACUGGGGGAGGUUGAGUGAUACUGCCAGUCUUGAAUAGAGGAGAGGUUGACGGGAUUCCGCGUGUAGUGGUGAAAUGCGUAGAGAUGCGGAAGAACACCAGUGGCGAAGGCGGUCAACUGGCCUCAUAUUGACACUCAGACGCGAAGGCAUGGGUAGCGAACGGG